rnacentral:rRNA from 1 species
AGUGAACGCUGGCGGUAGGCCUAACACAUGCAAGUCGAACGGCAGCACAGUAAGAGCUUGCUCUUACGGGUGGCGAGUGGCGGACGGGUGAGGAAUACAUCGGAAUCUACUUUUUCGUGGGGGAUAACGUAGGGAAACUUACGCUAAUACCGCAUACGACCUACGGGUGAAAGCAGGGGAUCUUCGGACCUUGCGCGAUUGAAUGAGCCGAGGUCGGAUUAGCUAGUUGGCGGGGUAAAGGCCCACCAAGGCGACGAUCCGUAGCUGGUCUGAGAGGAUGAUCAGCCACACUGGAACUGAGACACGGUCCAGACUCCUACGGGAGGCAGCAGUGGGGAAUAUUGGACAAGGGGCGCAAGCCUGAUCCAGCCAUACCGCGUGGGUGAAGAAGGCCUUCGGGUUGUAAAGCCCUUUUGUUGGGAAAGAAAAGCAGCAGGUUAAUACCCCGCUGUUCUGACGGUACCCAAAGAAUAAGCACCGGCUAACUUCGUG